AGAUGUAUUUAUUUAUUUAUACAGGCACUGGGUACAGUCAGAAGCACAGGAGAGUGAGAGAAUUCACCAGAACCAGAGCGGGGAGGAGAACAGGAAGACUGAGGAAGUACACUGCUGAGGGGAGCAGCGGGUGGCAGGAGAGGUCUGCGCACCAUGUGGGACCCUUCUGGCAGCUGGGGAUCAAACCAGCACCGCACCAUGUGGGACCCUUCUGGCAGCUGGGGAUCAAACCAGCACCGUGGAGGCUGCGGGCAGCUUCACAACCCAGCACUCAACUGCUGUGCCACCAGGGGAGGCCCACAAAGGAGACUAUUUUACAAUAAUAUACACAUUCAUUUCACAAAGCAAAAGGAAAGUAAGAGGGCUCAUUUGCAUGUCUGGACCUGGGAUUUCUUGCAUAGCACUCCAACAAUACACAAGAGUCUUGCCAAGUCCCCAUACCAAAAGCUUUCCCUAUGGUCCUUGAGCCCCAGAAAAUGGGUGAUCUUGGCUCUCUUUUCCUUAUAUAAUAAAUUUCUUCUUUUCUGGAUUUAUUGGACUGCUUUCUAUGGAAAUUUUCAUCUUUCUCCAAUUUCUCUCUCUCUAGUCUAUAGGUAGAGUGUACCAAUGAUGUUCCUGAUGCUGGUUUUCAUGGAAGUCUUGUAGAGUUAUCCUUUCAGAACGCUCAGGUAACUGCACCAGGAUGAAGUCCAGAUCCCAGCACCUCUUAACAAGUUUCUGUCAUGGACCGUGCAUAUGUGGGGAUGGACCCAGCUUACAUUUCUGGAGGACUGUGGUGGAAUGAGAGGAUGAAAUAAUGCAUUCAGAAUAGAGAUAAAAUAUACGGGUCACAAAUAUCCUAACCUGCAGGAUUCUCCUACAGAGACAAGAGAGUAGAAAUGUUCUUCCCAAACAAAAGCUGAAGAAGUGGAACACUAACAAAUCUUCCCUGAAAGAAAAGUUUAAAAGAGAUCCCUUGUAUAAUUUAAAGAGAAAAGAAAAAAAAGAAAAAAGAAAAAGCUGAGCAGGGAAGUAGAACCAGACAACUAAAGUCAAAGUGGCAGUAGAAGAUCCUCUAUAGAGCUCACCAAUCCAAAGGCAGAGAGAGGACAGCCAAGAUUGCACAGUCCCCAGGAGACCCGUCUGAGCCCCCAAAAUAAACACAGGCUCCUGGCUCAAGGCUGAAUAUUACACCAAACCCCGGAACAGGCUCAGGGAUGUCAGAGUCUGGGCCAAAGUGUAUUGUGCUGCACCAUGAUGUGGAGCCGAGAGCCUUCAUUUUUCUCACAAUGUAUUUUGAAUAGCAGCUGCUUUGUAAUGUGUACAAUAGGAUCCAUUUCCGGAUCUGCAGAUGGAACUCGUGCAGCAGAGGCUUCACAGUGCUGUGCUUAAUCCCUGCGCCAUCAGAGAGGCCCCACGCCUUGCUUUUAUGUCAGCUUCAGGGUCUGGCUGCGGCAGACACUGUUGGUGAAAGGCUGGGAGUCCUGGAGCUUGCAACAGACCUACCUGUGCCUUCUGCCCCAGCCCGCCUGCCCCAGCCCACUGUGACCUGCUCAUUAGCUGGAGUUAUGUUGGGACAAGGCCUGGGGGUAGACUAAAAGUUUCAGGGAGUGACUGGCCAGGAGCCUGACUUGUGCCCCCCAGAUGACCAGGUGAGCUCUUAGAAGUCUCCUGCUUCUCUACUCCCUGCUUGCUUCAAGUUGCAAAUGUGUCCCUGCUGGGGCCAUGGGUACUCUGUCGCCCAAUGGCUCAGGGCUCGGACUUUGGAAAAAGAUCACCUCUGGGCCUGUGGGAUAAAUAAAGAUGAAAAUUUUCCAUAACCUCUCACAAUCUAAAAAUCAAAAGGUAGAUGAUCCUAACUCUAAAUGCAAAUAAAGCGAGAUGUGUUAAGAAUUGUAUUUAAAACAGGGCCUCCCCUGGUGGCUUAGGCGGUUGAGCGCAGAGCUGUGAAGCUGUCUACAGCCUCUGCAGCGCCAGUUCGAUCCCGGCUGGCCAGAGAAGGUUCCACAUGGCACAGCAGACCUCUCGUGUCAUGCCCGCUGCUCCCCUCAGCAGUGCAUUUCAGUCAGUCAGUCUGCCUGUUCUGUUCCCCACUCUGUUGCUGGUGAAUCCUCUCACCCCCCACAUCUCUGGCCUGUACCCCAGUUCCUGUGUGCAUAAAUAAAUAAAUCUUAAAAGAUUAUUUAUGCACUCAAGAACUGGGUUGUAAGCCAGACAUGGUAGUUGUGUUUGAGAGGAUUCACCAGAGACAGAGUUGGGGGCAGAACAGACAAACUGACUGAAACACACUGCUGAGGGGAGCAGCAGGCAUGACAC